UGGGGAAUUUUGGACAAUGGGGGAAACCCUGAUCCAGCCAUCCCGCGUGUGCGAUGAAGGCCUUCGGGUUGUAAAGCACUUUUGGCAGGAAAGAAACGUCAUGGGUUAAUACCCCGUGAAACUGACGGUACCUGCAGAAUAAGCACCGGCUAACUACGUGCCAGCAGCCGCGGUAAUACGUAGGGUGCAAGCGUUAAUCGGAAUUACUGGGCGUAAAGCGUGCGCAGGCGGUUCGGAAAGAAAGAUGUGAAAUCCCAGAGCUCAACUUUGGAACUGCUUUUGUAACUACCGGGCUAGAGUGUGUCAGAGGGGGGUGGAAUUCCGCGUGUAGCAGUGAAAUGCGUAGAUAUGCGGAGAAACACCGAUGGCGAAGGCAGCCUCCUGGGAUAACACUGACGCUCAUGCACGAAAGCGUGGGGAGCAAACAGG
rnacentral:rRNA from 1 species